rnacentral:rRNA from 1 species
CCUACGGGUGGCUGCAGUGGGGAAUAUUGGACAAUGGGGGGAACCCUGAUCCAGCCAUGCCGCGUGUGUGAAGAAGGCCCUCGGGUUGUAAAGCACUUUCAGUGAGGAAGAACGCCUGGUGGUUAAUACCCAUCAGGAAAGACAUCACUCACAGAAGAAGCACCGGCUAACUCCGUGCCAGCAGCCGCGGUAAUACGGAGGGUGCGAGCGUUAAUCGGAAUUACUGGGCGCAAAGCGCGCGUAGGUGGCUUGAUAAGCCGGUUGUGAAAGCCCCGGGCUCAACCUGGGAAUGGCAUCCGGAACUGUCAAGCUAGAGUGCAGGAGAGGAAGGUAGAAUUCCCGGUGUAGCGGUGAAAUGCGUAGAGAUCGGGAGGAAUACCAGUGGCGAAGGCGGCCUUCUGGACUGACACUGACACUGAGGUGCGAAAGCGUGGGUAGCAAACAGGAUUAGAUACCCUGGUAGUC